GACUUUGAGCUCAAUGCCAUGACUGAGGAAGACCACGGGGUUUUCUCUCUUAGAGGGGAGGGAACCCAGAGCUUUGAGUUGAGAUGGGGGUGCCAUAAGAUUGAAGUACUCUGAAAAACAGAGCUUAAAGGCUUUUAACAGGAAUCCUUGAUAUUCUUCAUUCCAAUUGUUCACCUCUACUGUAGGGCUCAGUAAACACUUAAGGAAGUUGCCGUGCACUGCAGCCUGCCGGAGACAUGAAGGAAUGUACGGGAGGAUAAUCGCAACAUCAUCAACCCAAUUCUCCAAGGAAUUUGCCAUGGGACAGGCACACCCCAUGUGUUUGGGAAGACAAUGGGAAGGUUCUGUUUUCUGCUCCAAGACUGAUUCAACCAGUUGGAUCUGGAAGGGGAUAAAGGGCUGUGUGGCUGCUUGAUUUUCAUUGUCUAGUGGCAGCCAAAAUUGGAAAAGAGAGAAGUGCAGACUUUAAAGACAAGCAGCGACAGCUCAUCAGCAGUCUAACAACACGACAGAUGACAGGCCCAGAGGCACACCCAGGGCCGCCAGCCCAUCACCCUGUGCAGGAUGUCAAAGAGCAGCUGCAGCAAAGGAAGAAGAUCAUCCAGACUUAAAUGUUUGGGCCUUGCUAAGACCAUAGAGUCUUUGUGCUUUGGAAACAGUCCUCCAUACAAAGACCCCUUCCUAGAAAAGAGUGGAAAGAAACCAAGGUGGAAUGGAUACAACAGAAAGGAGACCAUGCUAAUAUUCUUGUGCAAUGCUUCCUGGGCAGAAAUUAUGUCAUAAAGGAUGUUCCAUUCUGCAAAGCUAUGUGUCUCUCUGUGGUUUGCCUCAGAGGAGGGGCCUUUCAUAGCUGUAGUGAGUAAGGGGGCCCUUGCUGAUGUUCAUCAGAUAUGCCAAGGCACAGGAAGAAAGCAUUGAGGUCACAGGGCAGCUCAGGUCCGCCUGUGGUA
rnacentral:lncRNA from 10 species